AAUUCACUAUAAUUUUUUUAUGGUUUAUGAUCACAGGUAUAUAAAUAACGAAAGGUUUUUAUUUUACUAUCAUAAUUAUUGUUGUAUUUCAAUCGUUAAAAUGUUCACGAAAUUGGUAGCCAGGUUAUGCUUGAUCAACUUUAUUAUUUUCUGCGGAUCAAGAUUGGCUUUUCCGCAGCUCCCAGGGAUAUCGAAAAUCUUACCACAUGAAGAAACAACUUCAACGACCAGUGUUCCCCCGCAAAUUAAUGUAGACGUGAAUGUACACGGAGAGACGACACCUCAACCAUCGCAAACAUAUCUCUUAAGCAAAGAGAAUCUAUCAAAAGAACAGCCGUCGUGCUCGUAGGAGCAACCAAUGAAUUUUAUUUCAAAAUUAAUAUGAUAAAAUAAACAGAAUUUUCUAUAUUUUCACAUAAAUAUAUAUUAGUAAUUGUUUGAAAAUUAUCGGGACUUGUAAAAUAUUGUCGUUUAAUAAAUUAAUAUACACAGAA